rnacentral:lncRNA from 10 species
GCCUGACCAGCUAUAUCACUGAAUAUGUCAAUUACAGUGGGAUCUGAGGGUUGUAAGUUAAAGAUCAUGCGUUUUUUUUUUUUUUGUUUUUUUCUGAGGCUGCUUACGAGGUGGGAAAAGGAGGGUUUAGACACUGCAGGAAUAGUGGAUGUAGUAAGGAAAUGCUCAGCAGAGGGCUGGGCCAUUCAGGUGAAGGAAGCACUGGGUGGUUUACAUGGGAGAACCAGGGGCCUAUGGUUGCAGAAGGAGUAGUAACGAAAGAGAGGAUGCUCAGA